AUUGAACGCUGGCGGCACGCCUAACACAUGCAAGUCGAGCGGCAGCGAGGUUAGUAGCAAUACUAACUGUCGGCGAGCGGCGGACGGGUGAGGAACACGUAGGAACCUGUCCUUAAGAGGGGGACAACCAAGGGAAACUUUGGCUAAUACCGCAUAGACUCGAAAGAGGAAAGCUGCUCGCAAGGGUGGCACUUAAGGAGGGGCCUGCGUCCGAUUAGCUAGUUGGUAAGGUAAAGGCUUACCAAGGCGAUGAUCGGUAACUGGUCUGAGAGGACGACCAGUCACACUGGGACUGAGACACGGCCCAGACUCCUACGGGAGGCAGCAGUGGGGAAUAUUGGACAAUGGGGGCAACCCUGAUCCAGCGAUGCCGCGUGGGUGAAGAAGGCCUUCGGGUUGUAAAGCCCUUUAGGUUGGGAAGAAGGGUGUUGUAGGAAAUGACAACAUUUUGACGGUACCGACAGAAUAAGCACCGGCAAACUCUGUGCCAGCAGCCGCAGUAA
rnacentral:rRNA from 1 species